ensembl:snoRNA Gm23321 small nucleolar RNA SNORA17
ACUGCCUCAGAGGCACUACAGGUGUGGCUGCUGUGUCACAUGUGCAUCAGCAGGUGAUAGAAAAGAGAGAGACUAUGUUCAGUGUUCUGACCUGUGAACACCUGAAAAGAUUAGUAGCCUAAUGAU